GCAUAUGUAAAGAUACUAGAUUGUAUGAGAUCAAAAUUUGAUGCAAAAGGUACAAAAUGUAUGUUUGUUGGAUAUUAUAAAGGUACAAAGACUUAUAGGCUCAUGUGUUUGGAGACUAAAAAGAUCAUCAAAAGUCGUGAUGUUGAGUUUUUGGAGUACAAGAGUGCUUGUGAGUACUUGGAGAUCUGUCCAAGUGGGAG
rnacentral:lncRNA from 1 species